AUUCUCCAUCACACAAAUUAUCUUAGAUAUAUUAAUCUAAAAUCAAUAUUAUGAUAUUUGUUUCCUCUAUAAAUAGUUCCGUAUGACAAGCUUAUUUUCGCACCAACCAAAAAACAAGAACAGCAUCUGUAGUGCAAAUUAACUCUCUAUCAAUGGCAAUGAAAGUUGUUGUAGUGUUGUUCAUUGCAAUGCUUGUGUUGACAGAGCAUAAUGCUAUGGCUGGUACAUUAACAUGUCUGAUAGGAUGUUCAGUUUGGGGAGUAUCUCCAGAAAAGUUACUUCAGUGCAUCGUUGGUUGUGGUACACCAUCUUCAAUAGGAUGUUCAGUUUAGGGAGUAUCUAAAGAAAAGUUACUUCAGUGCAUCGUUGGUGUUCACUUACCAACACAAAACCUGCGGAUGUAGCUAACUGCCUCGCGGAUUGUGGUACACCAUGUCCUACAAAAUGUAAAGUUACAUAUCAAAGAAAUGUCACGUGCAAUUUUUUAAAAAAAUGUAAAGGAGCUUAGUUUAGAGAUUUAGUAACCAGACUGCAUGAGAAGGUGUUUCUACUUCAUAACUUCAAGAUGGGAGGGUGUGAAGAAGGACCUGAUACUUGCACGAACAAGUCAUGCAAGGGCCAUGAAGUUGACCUUAUGCAUUAUUCAAUAGGAAAGGCAAUUCCUGGAAGACUCUAUGGAGGGAACAUGGUAGACAACAGUGACGGAAAUGGGGUUGACAAAUAAUCCAACUGGUUCUGAGUUCUUUAUAGCAUUUCACCACAAAUUUUGUUCCAUUAAAUUAGCAAGGACGUACUAAGUCAUAUCUAUUGGUACACUAGGACAGGUUUGGUCAUUUGGUUGAUCUAUACAGCUGGAACCAACACUGUAGUUAUUUGGAUGGCUACGGUCCGUCGGGUAUGAUUUGGAGAUUUUCUUGAAUACGUUUUCCCUUGAGAAGCUUCAAGCUUGUUCUCACGUCUGUAUAACUGGAUAGUGGAUAGUAGGGGUGUGCAAAAAUCCAACCGACUGAUAAAAAUAUUAUUGGUUUAUUGUUCUUGGAUUAUUGGGUUAACAUUUUUUAAUGGUUUUAUAAAAAAAAAAUUAUUGGGUUA